rnacentral:lncRNA from 1 species
CCAAGGACAGUGUGAAGUAUUAAUUGAAAACCAGUACCUCUAUCAUUAAUUGUCAGGACUUGAUACUAUUCAGAGGAACCUAAGAAACAAUAGCCUUACACUGAAUCUAUUUGUUCAUUCAACGAAUUUUUAUCAAGUAUGUACUUCCUUUGUACCUGUUACUAAUCUACCAGCUGAGCACACAGUGGUGAAAGAAAGAGAAAUGUCACUGCCCUUGUGGAAUGAGCACUGAGUUAGGUGAAUUACAUGUCAGUGGUACCUUCAUACUCUAUCUAACGUACUCAGAGUAUGUAAACUCUGCAUGAGGUGAAAUGGACAUGGAGUAAUUGGAUCAAGGAAUUUGUAUUUAGAAUCAGGUAAAGUUAAAAAAAUCCUAAAAUAAAGUUUUCCCUAAAGAGACUAUUAUUUAUUUGAAAGGGAGAGGUGGGGAGGACUCCUAUUAACAAUGUGUAAGUUAUCCAGGAUACAAAUGCUUUAAAAAAAAGUCCAUGUCUUAUCUUCCCACAUUGAUUACACGUUCCCCGAUAGUUUUGCACUAAUUCUGUAGCCACUAGCCACAUGUGGCUAGGCUAGUCAAAUGUAAAUUAAUUAAAAUUAAAUUAAAAAUUUAGUUCCUCAGUAUCAAUGGCCACAUUUCAAGAGCUCAGUAGUUGUUUGUGGCUAGUGACUAUGUUAUUGGACAGUACCGAUGUAGAACAUUUCUGUCAUCACAGAACAGACUGUUGAACGGUGCUGGUUUAUAGAAGCAUAUAUUCCUCAUGACAUAAAAAAAUUAAAACAACUAUAUAUUGAUAUGGAAGAUGAAUGUGAAUGGACUAAAAGAAAAAGUCUUUUGUCAUUGUAGAGAAUGAGCAAUCGGAAGGCAGUUUCUAAAGAAUGGAAUUGGUCAAAAAGUUUUGUAUGUCUGUGUUAUUAGACUCAAUGUCUGUCUGAAUAUAAAUGGAGGCGAGCAGAAAAGGAAUAGGAUUGUCAGGAUAAGUAAAAUAAAAAUCUUGAAACCCUUGGAUAAGAUGGUGGAAAGUAUAGAGAGAGGAGGUAAGGUCCCCUGGGGAUGUCUUAGAGAAGAAACCUAUUUAUUUGUUCACAGAUGUGUCAUCUUCGACAGCCGCUAUCAUUUCAGAGAUGCCAUCUCCUCUGUGACCUGCUUAAUCGGACAUGUGAUUUUCCUUCUUUUUCAUUCCUUCUUACUCUUAUGAGUGGGGCUCUUGUCCUCUCUCCAGAGUCGUUCCCUUGGUCCAAUCAAGAUAUCCUGCCAAAAUUUGAGUCCUGCGUAGAGAACAAGAAAUGGAAAUUUGCUGUGCAGUAGCUGUCUUACAUUUCCCUCACAAAUCCUGCAUUAUCAG